ensembl:lncRNA
CUAUAACUCACAGAGGUAGUUCAAGUGUGACUGAUUAUUAUUUGAGCAAUUACUCCGGAUGGAACCACCAAGCCCAUGGGGCUCAUUUUGGAAGCAGAAGAGGAGAUGCUGCCAACAACCAAAACUCAGUGGGUGCCCUGUGUUGCAUUCUGAUGAAGCACUGCCUCUUCUUCAUCACUUCGGCUGUUUCAUUCCAAGAUGUUCCCCCCUCUACUUCUACCCUCGUUCCCUUCCUUUAGUGGAUCUGAGACAACUGGUUCUCCCGGUUCUUGACCCUUGCCUGUUUUCUGGACUCUGUACCCGCCAGCCUGACCAAUCAGCCUGCCCUGACCUCAAGCCUGCCUGCCACUCUGUACCUCCUGGACUCUGAACUUGUUUUGACCUUUGGCCUGUCCACGACCAUUCUCUUGCCUACCCCUUUUGGAUGUAAUAAAUAUCAAAGACUCAAACCACCUUCUUCCCGUGUCUGCAUCUGGGUCUCGCCUUGUGCCCUUAUACUCACUUGCCCAGUCCUAUCAGAUCUAUAACGGGAGGGAAGUGAAUGAUGGCACGGGGAGGGAACAUCUUCUUGGAAUGAAACACACCCAUGUUGCUACCCCAGACUUACCUUGAAUAAAGACUACUACAACCGAGUGAUCAUCAUAAUAAAUCAUGGUAUUAUGGAUGCAUUACUUUAAUACAUACAUCCAUUGAACUGUAGCAUCGCACUUUUCAAUGAUUGAUGUUUUUUUUUUAGGUCUAUGUUAGUGCAUUCGACACGCUUUCCCAGAACAUAUUAUUCUAUUUAUUAAAUUAUUCAGAGAAUACAAUGAUAUGCUUCGUGAGUUUUGUAUGUAGGCUACAUGAUUUAUGCAGUUGUCUACUCAAUUUAGUGUUAAUAUACUGUAUGUGUACUGUAUUAUAGAAUAGAUAACUACAGAGGUAAUGUCUAAUGUUUUCUUCCAAGCCUAUCUAGGAAUGGUCAAAUUCUCUUCACUGCUGCGGCACAUUCACAUACUGUACCAGUCUAUUCAACAUCCCUUUUCU